rnacentral:rRNA from 1 species
GCGGAGGAAAAGAAACUAACAAGGAUUCCCCUAGUAACGGCGAGUGAAGUGGGAAAAGCUCAACUUUGAAAUCUGGCAGCUUCGCUGUCCGAGUUGUAGUCUCGAGAAGUGUUUUCCGCGCUGGACCAUGUAUGAGUCUGUUGGAACACAGCGUCAUAGAGGGUGAGAACCCCGUUCAUGACAUGCCUUCCAGUGCUCUGUGAUACACUUUCGAUGAGUCGAGUUGUUUGGGAAUGCAGCUCAAAUUGGGUGGUAAAUUCCAUCUAAAGCUAAAUAUUGGGGAGAGACCGAUAGCAAACAAGUACCGUGAGGGAAAGAUGAAAAGCACUUUGGAAAGAGAGUUAAAAGUACGUGAAAUUGUUGAAAGGGAAACGCUUGAAGUCAGACGUGCGCAGCUUCGGCUAAUGCAGGCUAGCAUCGGUUUUGCGAGCCGGAUAAAGGUAGAGGGAAGGUGGCAGCUUCGGCUGUGUUAUAGCCCUCUACUCAAUACGGAUUGCGAGACCGAGGAAUGCAGCGCGCCGCAAGGCAGAGGGUCCGCCCUCUUCGCGCUUAGGAUGCUGGUGAAAUGGCUUUAAACGACCCGUCUU